AUUCGAAGCAACGCGAAGAACCUUACCAGGUCUUGACAUCCUCUGACAAUCCUAGAGAUAGGACGUUCCCCUUCGGGGGACAGAGUGACAGGUGGUGCAUGGUUGUCGUCAGCUCGUGUCGUGAGAUGUUGGGUUAAGUCCCGCAACGAGCGCAACCCUUGUCCUUAGUUGCCAGCAUUAGGUUGGGCACUCUAAGGAGACUGCCGGUGACAAACCGGAGGAAGGUGGGGAUGACGUCAAAUCAUCAUGCCCCUUAUGACCUGGGCUACACACGUGCUACAAUGGAUGGUACAAAGGGCUGCGAGACCGCGAGGUUUAGCCAAUCCCAUAAAACCAUUCUCAGUUCGGAUUGUAGGCUGCAACUCGCCUACAUGAAGCCGGAAUCGCUAGUAAUCGUGGAUCAGCAUGCCACGGUGAAUACGUUCCCGGGUCUUGUACACACCGCCCGUCACACCACGAGAGUUUGUAACACCCGAAGUCGGUGGGGUAACCGCAAGGGGCCAGCCGCCUAAGGUGGG
rnacentral:rRNA from 1 species